UUCCAGACUCCUACGGGAGGCAGCAGUGAGGAAUAUUGGUCAAUGGGCGCGAGCCUGAACCAGCCAAGUCGCGUGAGGGAGGACGGCCCUACGGGUUGUAAACCUCUUUUGCCGGGGAGCAACGGGCGUCACGUGUGGCGCCACUGAGAGUACCCGGAGAAAAAGCAUCGGCUAACUCCGUGCCAGCAGCCGCGGUAAUACGGAGGAUGCGAGCGUUAUCCGGAUUUAUUGGGUUUAAAGGGUGCGUAGACGGCGACGCAAGUCUGGAGUGAAAGCCCGGGGCCCAACCCCGGGACUGCUCUGGAAACUGCGUCGCUGGAGUACGGGAGGGGCAGGCGGAAUUCCUGGUGUAGCGGUGAAAUGCGUAGAUAUCAGGAGGAACACCGGCGGCGAAGGCGGCCUGCUGGACCGUGACUGACGUUGAGGCUCGAGAGCGUGGGGAGCAAACAGGAUUAGAUACCCUAGUA
rnacentral:rRNA from 1 species